AGAAUCAACGCUGGCGGCGUGCCUAACACAUGCAAGUCGAACGAGAAAGUGGAGCAAUCCAUGAGUAAAGUGGCGCACGGGUGAGUAACACGUGACUAACCUACCCUUGAGUGGGGAAUAACUUCGGGAAACCGAGGCUAAUACCGCAUAACACCUACGGGUCAAAGGAGCAAUUCGCUUAAGGAGGGGGUCGCGGCAGAUUAGUUAGUUGGCAGGGUAAUGGCCUACCAAGACGGUGAUCUGUAUCCGGCCUGAGAGGGCGCACGGACACACUGGAACUGAAACACGGUCCAGACUCCUACGGGAGGCAGCAGUGGGAAUUUUGCGCAAUGGGGGAAACCCUGACGCAGCAACGCCGCGUGGAGGAUGAAGUCCCUUGGGACGUAAACUCCUUUCGAUCGGGACGAUUAUGACGGUACCGGAAGAAGAAGCCCCGGCUAACGUUCGCGCCAGCAGCCGC
rnacentral:rRNA from 1 species